rnacentral:rRNA from 1 species
ACUCCUACGGGAGGCAGCAGUGGGGAAUAUUGCACAAUGGGGAAACCCUGAUGCAGCCAUGCCGCGUGUGUGAAGAAGGCCUUGGUUGUAAAGCACUUUCAGUAGGGAGGAAGGUAGUGUAGUUAACACCUGCACUAUUUGACGUUACCUACAGAAGAAGCACCGGCUAACUCCGUGCCAGCAGCCGCGGUAAUACGGAGGGUGCGAGCGUUAAUCGGAAUUACUGGGCGUAAAGCGCAUGCAGGCGGCCUGUUAAGUCAGAUGUGAAAGCCCGGGGGCUUAACCUCGGAAUUGCAUUUGAAACUGGCAGGCUAGAGUCUUGUAGAGGGGGUAGGAAUUUCAGGUGUAGCGGUGAAAUGCGUAGAGAUCUGAAGGAAUACCAGUGGCGAAGGCGGCCCCCUGGACAAGACUGACGCUCAGAUGCGAAAGCGUGGGAGGCAAACAGGAUUAGAUACCCUGGUAGCACAGAG